AAUCGGAUAUUGGACAAGUGGUAAUGACCUUGAAGUUGAAGGUCAAUGGGUAUGGGGAUAUCCGAGUGAUUUGGCUGUAACAUAUACCGAUUGGUCACCCGGAGAGCCAAACAACAAGGCAGCUUCAGAUGGAAGAGAAGAAGACUGUGUCGUACUUUGGGGACAUCUUUCAUAUGCAUACAAGUGGAAUGAUCAACCGUGUGAUUACAAGGACUAUUUUAUCUGCAAGCGAAAAGACGCCAGUGUUCUCGUUGGAUAAAGUAAAAUAUGUUCUCCUAUAUA
rnacentral:lncRNA from 1 species